AUGAACGCUAGCUACAGGCUUAACACAUGCAAGUCGAGGGGCAGCAUUUUAGUUUGCUUGCAAACUGAAGAUGGCGACCGGCGCACGGGUGAGUAACACGUAUCCAACCUGCCGAUAACUCCGGGAUAGCCUUUCGAAAGAAAGAUUAAUACCGGAUGGCAUACGAAUAUCGCAUGAUAUUUUUAUUAAAGAAUUUCGGUUAUCGAUGGGGAUGCGUUCCAUUAGUUUGUUGGCGGGGUAACGGCCCACCAAGACUACGAUGGAUAGGGGUUCUGAGAGGAAGGUCCCCCACAUUGGAACUGAGACACGGUCCAAACUCCUACGGGAGGCAGCAGUGAGGAAUAUUGGUCAAUGGGCGAGAGCCUGAACCAGCCAAGUAGCGUGAAGGAUGAAGGCUCUAUGGGUCGUAAACUUCUUUUAUAUGGGAAUAAAGUUUUCCACGUGUGGAAUUUUGUAUGUACCAUAUGAAUAAGGAUCGGCUAACUCCGUGCCAGCAGCCGCGGUAAUACGGAGGAUCCGAGCGUUAUCCGGAUUUAUUGGGUUUAAAGGGAGCGUAGGUGGAUUGUUAAGUCAGUUGUGAAAGUUUGCGGCUCAACCGUAAAAUUGCAGUUGAAACUGGCAGUCUUGAGUACAGUAGAGGUGGGCGGAAUUCGUGGUGUAGCGGUGAAAUGCUUAGAUAUCACGAAGAACUCCGAUUGCGAAGGCAGCUCACUAGACUGUCACUGACACUGAUGCUCGAAAGUGUGGGUAUCAAACAGGAUUAGAUACCCUGGUAGUCCACACAGUAAACGAUGAAUACUCGCUGUUUGCGAUAUACAGUAAGCGGCCAAGCGAAAGCAUUAAGUAUUCCACCUGGGGAGUACGCCGGCAACGGUGAAACUCAAAGGAAUUGACGGGGGCCCGCACAAGCGGAGGAACAUGUGGUUUAAUUCGAUGAUACGCGAGGAACCUUACCCGGGCUUAAAUUGCAACAGAAUAUAUUGGAAACAGUAUAGCCGUAAGGCUGUUGUGAAGGUGCUGCAUGGUUGUCGUCAGCUCGUGCCGUGAGGUGUCGGCUUAAGUGCCAUAACGAGCGCAACCCUUAUCUUUAGUUACUAACAGGUCAUGCUGAGGACUCUAGAGAGACUGCCGUCGUAAGAUGUGAGGAAGGUGGGGAUGACGUCAAAUCAGCACGGCCCUUACGUCCGGGGCUACACACGUGUUACAAUGGGGGGUACAGAAGGCGGCUACCUGGUGACAGGAUGCUAAUCCCAAAAACCUCUCUCAGUUCGGAUCGAAGUCUGCAACCCGACUUCGUGAAGCUGGAUUCGCUAGUAAUCGCGCAUCAGCCAUGGCGCGGUGAAUACGUUCCCGGGCCUUGUACACACCGCCCGUCACACCACGAGAGUUUGUAACACCCGAAGUCGGUGAGGUAACCUUUUAGGGGCCAGCCGCCUAAGGUGGGAUGGAUGAUUGGGGUG
rnacentral:rRNA from 1 species